AUUGAACGCUGGCGGCAUGCUUUACACAUGCAAGUCGAACGGUAACAGGCCGCAAGGUGCUGACGAGUGGCGAACGGGUGAGUAAUGCAUCGGAACGUGCCCAGUCGUGGGGGAUAACGCAGCGAAAGCUGCGCUAAUACCGCAUACGAUCUCUGGAUGAAAGCGGGGGACCGAAAGGCCUCGCGCGAUUGGAGCGGCCGAUGUCAGAUUAGGUAGUUGGUGGGGUAAGGGCCCACCAAGCCAACGAUCUGUAGCUGGUCUGAGAGGACGACCAGCCACACUGGGACUGAGACACGGCCCAGACUCCUACGGGAAGCAGCAGUGGGGAAUUUUGGACAAUGGGCGCAAGCCUGAUCCAGCAAUGCCGCGUGCAGGAAGAAGGCCUUCGGGUUGUAAACUGCUUUUGUACGGAACGAAACGGUCCGGGUUAAUACCCUGGGCUAAUGACGGUACCGUAAGAAUAAGCACCGGCUAACUACGUGCCAGCAGCCGCCGUAAUAC
rnacentral:rRNA from 1 species